GAGGGUGUAGCUCAGUGGUAGAGCACAUGCUUAGCAUGCACGAGGUCCUGGGUUCGACCCCCAGCACCUCUG
rnacentral:tRNA from 1 species